UCCCAGGUGGCAUAGUGGUAAAGAAUCUGUUUUCUAAACAGGAGACCCAGGUUCAAUCCCUGGGUCCGGAA
rfam:TPA: Bos taurus chromosome 6, whole genome shotgun sequence.